ACAGCACCCUGGAGUUGGGAGAAAGGGUAAGGCAAGAAUGCCUACCUGUGGAGGGAAAGGCUCAUUCACAAGCCUAUACAGAUUCAGCAUUCCUACUGCAAAACUGCUUUCCUAGGAAUUCCUUCUCUACCACAGCUGAUCCCAAUGAUAAGUGAAGUCUGUGAGCAAAGAACUGAUCCAGGAACAAUACAAAGUACCAUAUCCCUGUGAGAAAAGGCAAGAGUUCUGGGGAAAGAAAGCACCAUAACUGGAAGAAGGAUGCAAUCAUUGGUUUUUAUAUGAAAAGGUACAGAAGGUUACAGAAGUUCUUUUCUGUGAGGACAUACCCCGGCGCUUCUGAUUCCAAAUAUGACGAAAGCUGUAAAGAAUGCUGCUCAGAAGCUUGUCAAAAGAUGGUCUUGGAGGGGAAAGUGCACAUAAAAGAAAAGAAAAAAAGAGUGAAAGAAGCAAAAGUUAAAGUAAAAUGAUUGCGGAAAAAGAAAGUUAAAGACCAGUAUACAAUUUUUAGAAUACAAGUAAGUCUUCCAAAAUAGAAUUGAAAAUACAUGAAAUCAAGCAGGAUGUGAAUUUGCUUAGAACAGCAAAAAUCCCACAGAAUUCCAUAAAAAUAUGAAAGAUAUGCUUGAUGUAAUGAAGAAGUAUAUACAUAUAAAAGAAUGACUACAGCAAAGAUGUAUUGCAAUAUGUGUAAAAAGAAAACAAUCUUUCUAAAAAAUGUAUUUGAUGAUAUCACGGAAUAUUUAAGAAUGCAGCAUUGUUUAUAUGAAUAAAAGCAUAAGAAUGGGGUAAUAUUAAGGAAUAUUUGUGGAUUGUAUGUAAUUUUGUAUACAGACAAAGUCAUGUUUUGGGCUGAGAACAUGAAUGAUUAAAUUGAUCAGUUGGUAUAGCUCUGGAAAUCAACAUAUCAAACAGCAAGGUUAUGUUUCACAGGAAGACUGGAGCAAAUGAUUGCAAGUUAUACAUUCAGACUGAGAAACUGGAAUAAAACAAAUAGGAAAAUGAAAGAGGUCAAAGGAAGCAGAAGAUGUGGAAGCUAUGGUUGCUUGGGGUUGAUAAAAUCUUUUAAAAGAGAGUGGUAAGAAGUUUAAAGAACAGAAGCAAUGGAUAAUGUAAUGAUCUAAGGCAGUGGUGGGUUUCAAAAAUUUUUACUACCGGUUCUGUGGGUGUGGCUUAGUGGCCGUGGCAUGGUGGGCGUGGCAGGGGAAGGAUACUGUAAAAUCUCCAUUCUUACCCCACUCCAGGGGAAGAUUACUGCAAAAUACCCAUUUCCUCCUGAUCAGCUGGGUCUCGAGAGGCGGAGAAUAGAUGGGUGUGGGGCCAGUCAGAAUUUUUACUACCGGUUCUCCGACCUACUCAAAAUUUCCGCUAUUGGUUCUCCAGAACUGGUUGGAACCUGCUGAAACCCACCUCUGGUCUAAGGACCUGGUGGAAGCAAGGAUCAUUUUCAAGGCUAGAAAUGUACUAGAAAUAGUAAAUUAUUUGGAGAGAAACUACUUUUAGUUUUGUACUACUACUUAGUUUUGUGUUGCUAUCAUAACCAUUUCUUGACUCUGCAAAAUAUUGCUUACUCCAGAAGGAAAUAACACAGUUUGUGUAUGUAUGUGUGUGUCUCUGUGUGUGUGUGUAAUUGGCACAGGCAUUUUCACUCUCUCAGACACAACCAAGUGUAUAACACAAACAUAAAGCCAUUUCCAAAAUUUAUUUUAGUUGGACAUGUAUUGCCCAAAUCAAAUCCAGCAAAACAGAACCAGACUGAUUGAAACCAAAAUGUGAUCUCUCGCCCCCACCCCUGUGAAGCUAAAAAAACCCCAAUGGCAUUCCCUUUUUUGGACAGCUUGUUAAAAUGACAUUAUAAGAGUUGGGGCUAUUUAGGAAUACUUACGUCAUGAGCAAAAACAUGUUUAGACAAGAAGGGAAAAGAAUAUAUUUAAACCUGCUUGGAAGCUUUAAAAUAAGCCUAAUUAACAUUUUGGACAAACUAAAUGAUGCUAAUUUGUAAUUCUGGCAAGAUGCCUCAUAGCUUUUUUUUUUUUUAAGUGCAUCAUUAUUUCUUAAAAGUCUUUUCCAUGUGAAAUGAAAAUAGAAUGCCUUACUGUUGGGACAGUUUUUUAAAAGGAUUUAACAAAUAAGCUAUAGAAACCAACCCCAAGUUGUUUAGAACUUUGAAGGACAAGCAUCAAGGGCAUUGUAAAGCAUUAAAUAAAAGGAUAACAGCAAUUAACCCCUUUAGAUGGGUUUAUGCAGUAAGUUGUUUUGUCAAAAAAUGGAUGCACCCUAGACAGGCUGGCUCUGCAGUAGGAUCAAGACCAGAUGGAGUUUAUAAAAAGUGCAUAAAACCCUACAUGAUAUGGAUAAUGUCUGUUCAAGAGCUAUUUUCAGUUUAACAAAGAUGAUGGAACAAGAGGGUAUACAUAAAAAUUAAAGAAAAUCUGAUUGGAAACAGAUGUUAGGAAACCCCAUUUUAAUGCAAAGAAACAUAGCUGUUUUGAAUAGUCAAGAAAGCAAAAUUGUUCAGGUAGAAACACUAGUCUCAUUCAUAAACAACUAAAAGGCAACCUGGGAUGUAAUGGAGUAUGAAUGACUAAUGGGUCUCAUUUAGCCAAGGAUUCUAAAUUUGCAAUUGCCGUGUAAUAUGUUCAAAAGUAGAUUAUAGAGGAAUUCAUAGGUUGAGAUGAUUGAAUUUUUUUCCCAGUCAGCAUUUGUUCAGUCAGAUUUAGAUUUUUUUUUCCUAAUCGUCAAUAGCUCCUUUAUUCGUGAGUUUUCAAAACUACAGAAAUUAAAUUAACUGUGUGUGUCAUUGCUUUGCCUUUUGUAUCUUUUUGUUUGUUUAUUCUCAAGCUGAAGAAAAUAGUAUAUAUCAACUGAUUCCCUUAGAUGGAUGCUUUUUGGGGCAGUGGGAAGACAACUCCACAAGCUUAUUACAGUAUAUAUCAUUAUUUGGGCUUUUUUUUCUUUGUGCCAAAUUUUGCAUGUCAAUUUAAAUUGCAAAACUACAAGCCUGGUUUUCUCAGAAUUUUAAGUUUACAAAUAGCUAGGUACAAAGCUCAGACUAAAGGAAAGCUGCAAUUUAUAGAUAUAUGCAGAUACAUAUAUACAUACACACACACACACACAUAUAUAUAAUAUUUUAUAUAUAUGCAAACCAGUUACUAAGUCUGCAUUACUAUUAAUCUCAAUGUUCCUAUUACCCAUUUCCUCCCAUUUAUGACUGUAUGACUGUAACCUUGUUGUUGGUAUCCUUAAGAUUUAUAUUGACUGUUUGCCUAUGACUAUCAUUAAGUGUUGUACCUUAUGAUUCUUGACGAAUGUAUCUUUUCUUUUAUAUACUCCAAAAGUGUAUGCACCAAGACAAAUUCCUUGUGUGUCCAAUCACACUUGGCCAAUAAAAAAUUCUGUUCUAAAGAAUUCUAUUUUAAAUAUGCCUGCACAAUCACAGCAAGACAAAACAAUCACAAUAAUCUCCAUAUCUAUAUUUCUUCAGCACAGAACACUGAAGCAAAAUGGCUUUCAUAACCCACAAAUAAAAAAAACACAAUCAGGACAGGAUACCAAAGCUCAAUGGAAAGCAGAACACACAGCUUUAUUUUCAAUGCUUAUUGUAACAUUCAACGGAACAGAAAUCAAACAAACCAGGAAAAGUAGCUUAGCUUCCCAAGUUCCUUACCCUUUUGCCAGCAAUGGCCAUAGUAGGCAUCUGCAUUUUCUUCUCUGUAACAAAGUAUUGUGUCUGUCUGCAUGAAUGUUUCUGCUUGUUCUAUUGUGUUCCAUGUAUAUGAAAUGAAAUGUACUAUAUGCACUGGGAAGCCCAAAGUAGUUUUCUGUACAGAAAUCCAUCCCAUUUUCAACCCCAACUCUUUCUUUACUACUUUCUUCCUGAUGAGCACACAGAGUUCUGAGCAUAAUUUAUUUAUGAAAUGUAUUUCCAACAUUCUACUGGGGUGAAAACAACAACAAGUAUAUUUAAAUUAAUCUAGAAGCACUAAAACUUUGAUUACAUGCAUAGAUGUUAACAAGUUUGCUUAAAAAAAUAAAUAACAACAAGGAGUC